CUGCCUAUCAGAGGGGAAUAACAGUGAGAAAUCACUGCUAAUACCGCAUAUGCCAUAGUCAUCGCAUGAUGAUAGUGGGAAAGAAGCAAUUCGCUGAUAGAUGAGCUUGCGGCUGAUUAGCUAGUUGGUGGGGUAACGGCCUACCAAGGCGACGAUCAGUAGCCGGACUGAGAGGUUGAACGGCCACAUUGGGACUGAGAUACGGCCCAGACUCCUACGGGAGGCAGCAG
rnacentral:rRNA from 1 species